rnacentral:ribozyme from 1 species
UGCCCAGCAACUCCUAUCCCUACCUCCUCGUGGUACUGGCCAGGGUGGGAGCUUUGGUCGUAUGCUGGCAGGGAAGG